rnacentral:tRNA from 1 species
UGGUAGUUCAGUGGUAGGACUCUUGCCUUCCGUGCAGGAAGCCUGGAUUCAAUUCCCAGCCA